rnacentral:lncRNA from 1 species
AUGACAUCACUUGGGUGCAGACAUAUGAGGAAGGUCUCUUUCAUAUUCAAAAAAGAUCCUUCUUUAACAGUCAGAGAUGAUAUAACUGGAAGAUAUUCCAACAGACUGUAUACAUAUGAACCUCAGGAUUUGCCACUGUGGAUAGAAAACAUGAAGAAAGCAUUAAAACUUACUCAAUCCAAGUUAUAAUGGAGUACCUCUUAAGAUCUUGAAUGUCGGAGUUCCCGUCGUGGCGAAGUGGUUAACGAAUCCGACUAGGAACCAUGACGUUGCGGGUUCGGUCCCUGCCCUUGCUCAGUGGGUUAACGAUCCGGUGUUGCCGUGAGCUGUGGUGUAGGUUGCAGACGCGGCUCGGAUCCCCCGUUGUUGUGGCUCUGGCGUAGGCCGGUGGCUACAGCUCCGAUUCAACCCCUAGCCUGGGAACCUCCAUAUGCCGCGGGAGCGGCCCAAGAAAUAGCAACAACAGCAACAACAACAUCAACAACAACAACAGACCAAAAGACAAAAAAAGACAAAAAAAAAAAAAAAAGAUCUUGAAUGUCACAAAGAAACACUUCUAGUUAAAUGACUAAUAUUCAAAAGGCAGAUAUAUGGCUUUUGUAACAUUACCAUUUAGAUUUUUAACAUGUUUGCAAUAGUCUUACGGAGGUAUGGUGAUAUUUCAAUAAAUGUCAAAACAUGCACA